UGAUAGAGGGAUGUGAAAGAGGAGAGAGGUAAUGGUUGUACUCCCCCAUGGAGUGAUGAUAGAGGGAUGUGAAAGAGGAGAGAGGUAAUGGUUGGACUCUCCCAUGGAGUGAUGAUAGAGGGAUGUGAAAGAGGAGAGAGGUAAUGGUUGUACUCCCCCAUAGAGUGAUGAUAGAGGGAUGUGAAAGAGGAGAGAGGUAAUGGUUGUACUCCCCCAUAGAGUGAUGAUAGAGGGAUGUGAAAGAGGAGAGAGGUAAUGGUUGUACUCCCCCAUAGAGUGAUGAUAGAGGGAUGUGAAAGAGGAGAGAGGUAAUGGUUGUACUCCCCCAUGGAGUGAUGAUAGAGGGAUGUGAAAGAGGAGAGAGGUAAUGGUUGGACUCUCCCAUGGAGUGAUGAUAGAGGGAUGUGAAAGAGGAGAGAGGUAAUGGUUGUACUCCCCCAUGGAGUGAUGAUAGAGGGAUGUGAAAGAGGAGAGAGGUAAUGGUUGGACUCUCCCAUGGAGUGAUGAUAGAGGGAUGUGAAAGAGGAGAGAGGUAAUGGUUGUACUCCCCCAUGGAGUGAUGAUAGAGGGAUGUGAAAGAGGAGAGAGGUAAUGGUUGUACUGGACUUAUUUAUUCCCUCAUUACUGACAUUCUUUUUCAACAUAAUUUCAUAAGACAAAAUAAAUAAUGUUAGAUAAUGCUCACUUCUUCCUAUAAGAGUCAUUGAAGUGUUGGAUGAGACAGGACCCUGCCUUCACAGAGGGAUAUUUGUUGGACCCGUAACAACAGGUGAUGAGGGCCUCAUCCUCCAGCUGCACAAAGAAAACCAGGGAAU